rnacentral:rRNA from 1 species
UACGGGGGGGGCAAGCGUUGUUCGGAAUUACUGGGCGUAAAGGGCUCGUAGGCGGCCAACUAAGUCAGACGUGAAAUCCCUCGGCUUAACCGGGGAACUGCGUCUGAUACUGGAUGGCUUGAGUUUGGGAGAGGGAUGCGGAAUUCCCGGUGUAGCGGUGAAAUGCGCAGAUAUCGGGAGGAACACCGGUGGCGAAGGCGGUUCUCUGGGCCUGACCUGACGCUGAGGAGCGAAAGCGUGGGGAGCGAACAGG